rnacentral:lncRNA from 10 species
ACAAUUUUCAUAUUUAUUGUGUUGAUUAAUAUUUGCCCUUGCCUGCUAGGAUAUAAACUCAACAAGGGCAGAGAUUGUCCUCUCUUAUUGACUGAGGUAUGGCUGCUGCCUAGUGAACCUGGUUGCAUGGAAGAGAAGGUAAUUAAAGAGAAUGUAACUUUAAAUAAAAUUAUUUUGAAGUAGUUUCAAACUUACAGAACAGUUGCAAAAACAGUACGGAGUUCAAAUGUACCCCUCAUGGAGAUAUGUUAACAUUUUAUCAUCACAUUUCCUUUUGGAAUGAAUGUUUAAUGAUAUUAGUAUUCGCAUGAAUCAUGAUAAUAGUAAUGACACGUUUGGAACUCUCUAGGUUUGCAGAAGGCUUUGUUUUUUUCCUUCAAGCUCUAGCCUACAGAUCACUCUUCACAUCUCCAAGAUAGUGAGGGCAAAGAUUAUUGUACCCGUGAACAGACUAGAAGAGUGAGGCUUAUUCAGGUCAGGUGACAUCUUACCUAAGGUCACACAGUUGUAAAGGGCAAGAGCAAAUCUGUGAGUGGAGCCGAGGUUUCCUCGCUCAUAGCUGGGUACUGCUUCUUCUGCACAGUUGGUCCGUUUUACAACCAAACUCUGUCUCCUCUGCUCUUGACGUCAGUUACUGCCUGGGUCAAGAGUGACUCUCUGACAGCAAAGAUGGCAACUGCCUCACGUAGGCUGGGAUGCCCCAUGGACAGCUGUAAGUCACACUGCAAAGGGCAUGAGUCACCUGCAUUCUUGCCCCUCUGCUACACGUGCUUCCUUCACUCAGCCCCUCUGAACACUGGUGUCCACAGUGUACUCAAUAAAUAUUUCUCAUGAUUUAAUCAUUAAUUUCUUACACUGACUAUGUCCUCUUCAUCCGAUGCCCAUGCCUGUCUCUGUUAACAGCUCCCUGCCAGACUAAUGAGCCCCUCCCCAUUCCUCAUCCUUCACACACCUUUUGAGACACUCCCUUCUUUCCCCUUUACAGUGUAGUAACUUGAUUAGGCUUAUUUUCCUACCCAACUGCAAAGUUCUUGAAGGCAGGGAGGAGCCUGUCUCCCACAGGUCUCUAUAUCUUUCUCAGGAUCUAGAACAGCACCCAGCACCUAGAAGGUCUCAGUAAGGAUGUGUUCGGUGAAAGAAUAAAGGAAAGAAAUCACAGAAGGUUUUUCAUGAAGCACAGCAGAUCGUGUGAAGCAGUCAAGAGGCCUGCGGAAAUAUUCAUCUGGACCCACAAAUUCACUCUCUCAGCCUCUCCCACUCCUGCCUAUGUGGACCGAUGAGUCACUUGAAUUUCUUUUUCAUUUCUCUUUCUGAAUCUUUCUAAAGUAAAGAAUACAUCUGAGGAGCUGUGUGGUGGAUGAGGAGUGAUAUACUCUGGUUUCCUGAUGCCUGAAACCCACCACUCUAGGUGCAUGCUUCGCUCUAUCCCCAUCUCAAACUCAUCAAGGCAGGUCAGUGCAGACGGAAGUUUGACCUUCAACCCUUCAGUCAUUGGCAUUGCUGGACAGAAUAAUCUAUACCCUAAAGAAAUGGAAGCUGGAUCUAAAGAGAAGCACUAAUUUUUUUAAAAAAGAAAGAAAAAGGAAAACCAACAACUUGAAUUAUAGAUUCCAUAGAAACCAGAGGUAUUAGAAUGGACAGAUUAAAAAUUUAUGUAUGCAUAUUUUUAAAUAAGGUAUAAUAUUAGCAAUAUGAAAUGAAAACAAGAAAUCAUAAAAAGAAUCAAGUAUAGGCCGGGCGUGGUGGCUCACGCCUGUAAUCCCAGCACUUUGGGAGGCUGAGGCUGGUGGAAUUUAUUUGUUUGUUUUAUUUAUUUAUUCAUUUAUUGAGACAGAGUCUCACUCUGUCACCCAGGCUGAAGUGCAGUAGUGUGAUCUCAGCUCACUGCAAACUCCGCUUCCCGGGUUCAAGCAAUUCUCCUGCCUCAGCCUCCCAAGUAGCUGGGAUUACAGGUGCCUGCCACCACACUCAACUAAUUUUUUUGUAUUUUUAGUAGAGACGGGGUUUUGCCAUGUUGGCCCAGCUGGUCUUGAACUCCUGACCUCAGGUGAUCCACCCACCUCGGCCUCUCAAAGUGCUGGGAUUACAGAUGUGAGCCACCAAGCCUGGCCUCAGCAUAGUUUUUAAAGUGGCAGUAGGAACUGAAUCAAGGGUCUUCUGAGGACUGAAGAAAAUAAUGUACUUUGUGUACCUGGCACAAUGCUUGUGCUCAAAAAACGGUGACUGGUACCAGUAUUGUGUCCGAUGCCUGGCCUGGCAGCCUUGGGUCAGCUGCUUUAUUUUUCCAGGCCUAAGGUUUCUCUGUAGUAGUAGCUGCCUGAGUAACUCAAAGGUUUGUUGUGAGGCUCAAAUAAGAUGAUAAAUGUGGAAGUGCUUUGGAAACCGUAAUGCUCUGUACAUAUCAAAGAGGUUAUUAUACUUCUAUUAUAUCAAUCCACUAUGGGUUCAGAUAGGAGAACACUCUAGUAAUCC